UCUCAAUCCCUGAGACCCUAACUUGUGACUUUUUCCUGUGAUGUGCACGGGUUGGGUUCUCGGGAGCUGCG
rnacentral:pre_miRNA from 1 species